rnacentral:rRNA from 1 species
AAACUAACAAGGAUUCCCCUAGUAACGGCGAGUGAACCGGGAAGAGCUCAAAUUUGAAAUCUGGCGUCCUCAGGGCGUCCGAGUUGUAAUCUAUAGAGGCGUUUUCCGUGCCGGACCGUGUCCAAGUCCCUUGGAACAGGGUAUCAAAGAGGGUGACAAUCCCGUACUUGACACGACUACCGGUGCUCUGUGAUACGUCUUCUACGAGUCGAGUUGUUUGGGAAUGCAGCUCAAAAUGGGUGGUGAGUUCCAUCUAAAGCUAAAUAUUGGCGAGAGACCGAUAGCGAACAAGUACCGUGAGGGAAAGAUGAAAAGCACUUUGGAAAGAGAGUUAAACAGUACGUGAAAUUGUUGAAAGGGAAACGAUUGAAGUCAGUCGUGACCGAGAGGCUCAGCCGGCUCUGCCGGUGUAUUCCCCUCGGUCGGGUCAACAUCAGUUUUGUCCGGUGGAUAAGGGCGGCAGGAAUGUGGCACCCUCGGGUGUGUUAUAGCCUGCUGUCGCAUACACCGGGUGAGACUGAGGAACGCAGCUCGCCUUUAUGGCCGGGGCCCGCCCACGUACGAGCUUAGGAUGUUGACGUAAUGGCUUUAAACGACC